UAAUCCUCGUGUCAGAGAUGUUACAGUCUCUGGGACGGACUUGGACGCUGCCGUCGUUGGCUCGUCUCGAAAUGCAUUAGCUGUCUGACCUGCGAGCUAUUGGUGUAAUACUUGUGUUGCGCCGCCGGUUUGCAAUUGACGAUGGCUCAUAAACCGUCCCUCGCGGACAACUUUUGUGA
rnacentral:misc_RNA from 1 species